GUUGUGACAGCCUCAAUAUAAUAAGGAAGCUAUAAAGUAUACAAGUUACCAAGCAGCAUGGCACUGUGUCUCCCUCAACUGGACGGUACGAGAACUAACGCUUGGAUGCCCACCACCGAUGAGCAAAGAAAGGGAUUUUUCUCAUUGCCAACCGGCGCCCGUAUUUGUGGGUACACUGGACACGUACCGAACAUGCAGCAGAGGAUUGGUGAAAGGUUUGCUAGUGCCACACAGACAGCAACGACCGAGCCAAUGAUCCAGUCACGUAAGGAAUUGGACGUAGAUAGAGAGAAUGAUCAACAAGAAGAUUUUGACGGCAUUAGAGAGUCUUUGCCUGGCAUACGUCACCUGCAGGUGCCCACACCAGGCAGUCAGGCAAGACUGAACUGUUCCAUGGUGCCGGGAUA